GACGAACGCUGGCGCGUGCUUAACACAUGCAAGUCGAACGGAAAGGCCCUGCUUUUGUGGGGUGCUCGAGUGGCGAACGGGUGAGUAACACGUGAGUAACCUGCCCUUGACUUUGGGAUAACUUCAGGAAACUGGGGCUAAUACCGGAUAGGAGCUCCUGCUGCAUGGUGGGGGUUGGAAAGUUUCGGCGGUUGGGGAUGGACUCGCGGCUUAUCAGCUUGUUGGUGGGGUAGUGGCUUACCAAGGCUUUGACGGGUAGCCGGCCUGAGAGGGUGACCGGCCACAUUGGGACUGAGAUACGGCCCAGACUCCUACGGGAGGCAGCAGUGGGGAAUAUUGCACAAUGGGCGGAAGCCUGAUGCAGCAACGCCGCGUGCGGGAUGACGGCCUUCGGGUUGUAAACCGCUUUCGCCUGUGACGAAGCGUGAGUGACGGUAAUGGGUAAAGAAGCACCGGCUAACUACGUG
rnacentral:rRNA from 1 species